CAAAACUUCCUCCAUUUAAUCCAUCCACUUUCUAUUAAAUGUAAUGAGUGUAUUUUUGAUGUAUUUUGUUUAUUUUUUGUGUGUACAGUUAGUAUGUUAGAACAAGACAUAUAAACAGGGGCAGGACUCUUAUGUAUUUAAGACAACUUUCUCUCUUCUUGGUCUAAUCAUCAAAAUGAACGAGGUAUUUUUUCUACAUUCCCCUUUUCUCUCAACAUGGAAUCAGAGCGUUUAAAACCCUAGGCUCGUGAAUCCGCCUUUGUCGAUCACGAUUUCUUCUCCGUUGAUCUCUGACGAGCCUUAGGUAUGCUUCCUCUCUUUGAUUGAUGUCGUGAAUCUCCGUUGUUCGGAGUUUCUUCUUUUCUGUGAUUGCAAUCUCUUUUGAUCAGAGAUUUGCAAAUCAAUCUCUUUCUCUUGCAUCCUUUCUUCAUUCGAAGGCUGCAAUUUCGUUUUUAUUUCAAAGCUUGUUUGUUUGUCCAUAAAUUGUUCUUAUGGCGACAUCGAUUCCGGAUCUGUAUUCAUCGUCGAUGAGUAAUACAACUGUUGAAAAUGGAUCGAGUCUGUUUUUCCUUCAUCAUUCUGAUAGUCUAGGCUUAAUCCUGGUGUCUCAACCUCUCACCGGGGAUAAUUAGCCCUCCUGGAGUUGUGCUAUGUUAAUUGCAUUCUCUGUCAAGAACAAACUAGGGGUUAUCGAUGGGACAAUUGGGCAGCCGGUAAUUGGAGAUCCAAAUUUCAACACAUGGAUACAUAACACAACAAUCAUAUGGUCAUUUCCUGGAUACUCAAUUCCGUUUCCAAGAAAAUUCGUCUAGUGUGAUCUACUUAGAACCCGCACAGGAAAUCUGGAUUGACCUCAAGGAACGCUAUCGGCAAAGCAACGGGCCUUGGAUCUUCCAAUUACGCCAUGAGUUAAUGAAUCUCAAUCAAGGUUCCAAAACAUGCUCCUCUCCAGAUAAAAGUUUCGCAUACAUAUGCAUAUAUAUGUAUGAUCAGUGAGUCAAUGGAACCAAAAUCAAGUCUAUUUGUUCGUACCACUGGGAUCCCCCCCCAAGGGACCAGUUCAAAGGUAGAAACGCUAAAUAGUGUCUGUAUGAGCAUUCUGCAAUGUGCCAGGCCCAAAACAAAAUGAUAGAUUGAAGUGUGAAUCCAAGAUAAUUCACACGAAAUUAAUAGCAUGGUAAAUGUUACCUGUGUCCACCAAGACAAAAUAGCACACAUCCUGAAAUUUGAUGUCUCAAUAUAUCGGCCAACUGCAGGUACAAAGAACAGAAUCGUAUCUAUUGCAUUGGUCAUCAAGUAAAGUGCAACUGCAACCAUGUAGGGAGAGUAGCACCAUUCUCCAAGCCAGCUACCAUACUCAGUUGAGUAACAUGUAUAUUUUCUUCUAGAGUCAGCAUAAUAUACUGGAAGAACAAUUGUCCAUAUCAAUGUGACAGCGACCUUCAGCACGUAUUUGAGGAUUUGAGAGGACGCCAUCGUGAAUCUUGCUUUCCAUGCAAAGACUAUGUCCAGAACAGCUGAAAUAUGAAAAAAUGGAUCAAACUGUUGUUUCAUGGGAGGAUGAACUGAUCAAGGGACACUAGUUCAUGAGAAGCUGGAAUAGUGGGCCUAUGCCAAGCAACAGUUAAUGGCACCAUAUUCAAUUUAGGAGUUCAAAACAUAUCUAUGCUUCCAAGAAUGAUCAACUUUUGGAACUAUACCGCAAGGUUGAACAAUGAUUGGAAUUUCCUUGAUUUAGGAGUUCUGGUGUAUGUAUCAUAUCAAAAUUAUGGCCAAGCAUUAAAAUACAAAUAUGAGACAAACCUCAAAAUUAUCCAACAAAAAUGAGAACCCACAAGGAUUAUUAUAGUUAUAAGAUACCACAAAAUCCUUGGGGUACGUGGCCAAGCAUGGAAAUACAAAUAUGAGACAAAACCUCAAAAUUAGAUGGGUCCUUGUUUGUGGACCCAGACUUGCUCUUGAGGCCCCUUUGUACAUUGUGGAUCCAUGGGCCACACAUAGACGCCCUUUAAGCUUGAUAUACUGUUGGUGGAGGUUUUAUUAUUUAAAUGUGAUUAAUGAUUCCAUGUGCUUAUUGUGUUAUAUACACUGAAAUGGUUAAUUGUUACUUUGUCAUAGCUACACCAUGUUUCUAGAUCUGAACUACUGCAUUGGGAAUAUUUGGUAAACACUUGUGAAACAUAGUAUCUUUUGAUUAUGAUCUAACAGAUGCAGGAAACCCUCUGUGAGCAAUCCAGCUUACCCCACCACCUAACAUAUUUCAGGUGACCAGAAGGAUGCCUAGGAGUAGACUCGGAUCAAGAGGAACCUAGUAGUGAACACUUAGAAUUACAUUGUCCUAUUAUUGCUUGUUUCUCUUUACUCUACCCAUGUAAUGUUGAGACUCUAAAAGUAUGUUUUAUCUA